CCUUUGGAGCUUGCUCCAUUGGUUUAGCGGCGGACGGGUGAGUAACACGUGGGCAACCUGCCCUGCAGAUCGGGAUAACUCCGGGAAACCGGUGCUAAUACCGAAUAGUUUUUUGCCCCUCCUGGGGCGAAACGGAAAGACGGUUUCGGCUGUCACUGCAGGAUGGGCCCGCGGCGCAUUAGCUAGUUGGUGGGGUAAUGGCCCACCAAGGCGACGAUGCGUAGCCGACCUGAGAGGGUGAUCGGCCACACUGGGACUGAGACACGGCCCAGACUCCUACGGGAGGCAGCAGUAGGGAAUCUUCCGCAAUGGACGCAAGUCUGACGGAGCAACGCCGCGUGAGUGACGAAGGUUUUCGGAUCGUAAAACUCUGUUGUGAGGGAAGAACAAGUACCAACUAACUACUGGUACCUUGACGGUACCUCACCAGAAAGCCACGGCUAACUACGUGCCAGCAGCCGCGGUAAUACGUAGGUGGCAAGCGUUGUCCGGAAUUAUUGGGCGUAAAGCGCGCGCAGGCGGUCCCUUAAGUCUGAUGUGAAAGCCCACGGCUCAACCGUGGAGGGUCAUUGGAAACUGGGGGACUUGAGUGCAGAAGAGGAAAGUGGAAUUCCACGUGUAGCGGUGAAAUGCGUAGAGAUGUGGAGGAACACCAGUGGCGAAGGCGACUUUCUGGUCUGUAACUGACGCUGAGGCGCGA
rnacentral:rRNA from 1 species